UGAAAAGUUGGGAUGCUGAUGUCAUGUGGGAUCUCUGCAACCUGUGAUAACCAUUGAUCCAAAUGAGUACAGGUCACAGGGGAGAGAAAAUCACUGUCCAAAAACAGCAUUCAGAGCCAGAGGCCCAGCUUGAAAGUGUAAUGCAGCUUUGGUAUGGGGAGAGUGUGAAGCAGGAAUUUCUGGGUGAAAUUACCCAAGUUGUGCUGUGCAGAAUUCAUAGCUGGAGGGAUUUCCCUUGACAUUACCUUUAAUCAGCAAGAAUCUUUCAAUUACUUGCUUUCUGCCUUAGCAGCACAUGGACAGGUGUUUGGUGUCUGAUAAUGACCUCAAACAG
rnacentral:lncRNA from 12 species